UAAAAGCAAGGAGAAGGAGAAAGAGAAAGAAGGAGGAGAAGGAGAGCAAGGAAGGAAGAGGAAGGGAGGAGCAAGGGUUUCCUACCAACUAAGGAGUAGAACCAAGAGAUGACAAGACAACGCGGCGCGAGGCCAUCGGCUGUCCAUCAUCACCUAGGACUCGAGAUGUGGAUUCAGGGAACCCUUAGGAAGCUAUGACUGAGGAGCCGGCUCUCUAUGGAGGUGACCUCUGGGAUGAGGAGCUGGUUGAGCAUGAGGACGGAUGCAUGUGCUAUGAUUGUGCAUAUGGAGCACGUUGAAGAUGGGAGUAUCAUCUUCUAUUUUUGAUUCUUUUUGUACUUAUCAGAUGUAACCCUAGGGGCAACAGUUAUUAUGAUUCCGAUAUGAAAACAUUCUUUUUGUGUAAUUAUGGUAACUAUCAAUAGAAAUCACCAGUUUGGUA